AGUUCCUGAAACCGUGUGCCUACAAGUAGUUAGAGCCCGUUAAUGGGUGAUAGCGUGCCUUUUGUAGAAUGAACCGGCGAGUUACGAUUUGUUGCAAGGUUAAGCGGAAAAAGCGGAGCCGUAGCGAAAGCGAGUCUGAAUAGGGCGCAUAAGUAACAGGUCGUAGACCCGAAACCAGGUGAUCUACCCAUGUCCAGGAUGAAGGUAAGGUAAUACUUACUGGAGGUCCGAACCCACGCACGUUGAAAAGUGCGGGGAUGAGGUGUGGGUAGCGGAGAAAUUCCAAUCGAACUUGGAGAUAGCUGGUUCUCUCCGAAAUAGCUUUAGGGCUAGCCUCGAGGUAAAGAGUCAUGGAGGUAGAGCACUGUUUGGACUAGGGGCCCUUCUCGGGUUACCGAAUUCAGAUAAACUCCGAAUGCCAUGUACUUAUACUCGGGAGUCAGACUGCGAGUGAUAAGAUCCGUAGUCGAAAGGGAAACAGCCCAGACCACCAGUUAAGGUCCCCAAAUAUAUGUUAAGUGGAAAAGGAUGUGGGGUUGCUUAGACAACCAGGAUGUUGGCUUAGAAGCAGCCACCAUUGAAAGAGUGCGUAAUAGCUCACUGGUCGAGUGACCCCGCGCCGAAAAUGUACCGGGGCUAAACAUAUUACCGAAACUGUGGAUGAACCUCUUUAGAGGUUCGUGGUAGGAGAGCGUUCUAAGGGCGGUGAAGUCAGACCGGAAGGACUGGUGGAGCGCUUAGAAGUGAGAAUGCCGGUAUGAGUAGCGAAAGAAGGGUGAGAAUCCCUUCCACCGAAUAUCUAAGGUUUCCUGAGGAAGGCUCGUCCGCUCAGGGUUAGUCGGGACCUAAGCCGAGGCCGAUAGGCGUAGGCGAUGGACAACAGGUAGAGAUUCCUGUACCAGUGCUAAUUGUUUAACCGAUGGGGUGACACAGAAGGAUAGGGAAUCGCACGAAUGGAAAUGUGCGUCCAAGCAGUGAGUGUGAGAAGUAGGCAAAUCCGCUUCUCGCGAAGCAUGAGCUGUGAUGGGGAAGGAAAUUAAGUACGGAAGUUCCUGAUUUCACGCUGUCAAGAAAAGCCUCUAGGAAGAGUAGUACUGCCCGUACCGCAAACCGACACAGGUAGAUGAGGAGAGAAUCCUAAGGUGAGCGAGAGAACUCUCGUUAAGGAACUCGGCAAAAUGACCCCGUAACUUCGGGAGAAGGGGUGCUCUAUUAGGGUGCAAGCCCGAGAGAGCCGCAGUGAAUAGGCCCAGGCGACUGUUUAGCAAAAACACAGGUCUCUGCAAAACCGUAAGGUGACGUAUAGGGGCUGACGCCUGCCCGGUGCUGGAAGGUUAAGAGGAGUGCUUAGCUUCGGCGAAGGUACGAAUUGAAGCCCCAGUAAACGGCGGCCGUAACUAUAACGGUCCUAAGGUAGCGAAAUUCCUUGUCGGGUAAGUUCCGACCCGCACGAAAGGCGCAACGAUCUGGGCACUGUCUCAACGAGAGACUCGGUGAAAUUAUAGUACCUGUGAAGAUGCAGGUUACCCGCGACAGGACGGAAAGACCCCGUGGAGCUUUACUGCAACCUGAUAUGGAAUGUUUGUACCGCUUGUACAGGAUAGGUAGGAGCCGAAGAGACGUGUGCGCUAGCAUACGAGGAGGCAAUGGUGGGAUACUACCCUGGCUGUAUGACCAUUCUAACCCGCCACGCUUAGCGCGUGGGGAGACAGUGUCAGGUGGGCAGUUUGACUGGGGCGGUCGCCUCCUAAAGAGUAACGGAGGCGCCCAAAGGUUCCCUCAGAAUGGAUGGAAAUCAUUCGCAGAGUGUAAAGGCACAAGGGAGCUUGACUGCGAGACUGACAAGUCGAGCAGGGACGAAAGUCGGGCUUAGUGAUCCGGUGGUUCCGCAUGGAAGGGCCAUCGCUCAACGGAUAAAAGCUACCCCGGGGAUAACAGGCUUAUCUCCCCCAAGAGUCCACAUCGACGGGGAGGUUUGGCACCUCGAUGUCGGCUCGUCGCAUCCUGGGGCUGUAGUCGGUCCCAAGGGUUGGGCUGUUCGCCCAUUAAAGCGGCACGCGAGCUGGGUUCAGAACGUCGUGAGACAGUUCGGUCCCUAUCCGUCGCGGGCGCAGGAAAUUUGAGAGGAGCUGUCCUUAGUACGAGAGGACCGGGAUGGACACACCGCUGGUGUACCAGUUGUUCCGCCAGGAGCAUCGCUGGGUAGCUAUGUGUGGCAGGGAUAAACGCUGAAAGCAUCUAAGCGUGAAGCCCCCCUCAAGAUGAGAUUUCCCAUUUCUUCGGAAAGUAAGAUCCCUGAAAGAUGAUCAGGUAGAUAGGUUUGGAGUGGAAGUGUAGCGAUACAUGGAGCGGACAAAUACUAAUCGAUCGAGGACUUAACCAA
rnacentral:rRNA from 1 species